AUGUCCACGUUUGAGGCGUUACAGUUAAAACGCGAGCGUGACCGCUCUCAGGCUUCUCUCUGGUAAUAGUAAGGAGACCUAACUCCAUAGAUUAGAAGUGGCAGCGAAAUGUUCCGCAUGUGGCCAGGUUCGCCGAAUGGAAGAACUUGCAACAUUUCGUCGCCAUUUUGAAAUUAAUGACAGAUGAUAAAAAGGUUAAAAAUAUAUAACAUACACGUAGUUCCAAUAGGAUGUGUUAAUAUUUAUAAUAUAUACAUGUAUAUAUUGCUGUAGAAAGAAUAAAUAAUAAUAUUGAAAGCCUUUUACAAAGACGCAAUGAAACCUGAUGGACACAAUAGCUUUAAAUACUUACAAGAUAAUAUAGAGUUGAUUACACUUCCUUCUACAAAAUGGAGUUAUUCAAGAGGAAAUGAAGUGUUUUUUGGUUUCCAAAAAGUGGAAACUAAUUAUAGUGUAACAAAAAGAAUUGCUUUUUUACAAAAUGGAAAGGUUAAUAUUUAUAUACAUAAUAAAUUUUAUAUACAUAAUAAAAUUCAUUCUUUUUCAAAAUUUAUUAGUAUUGUAAAUAUUGAGGAAUUAAAUGAAUUGUUAACAAUUGUAGAUGAAUUAGAAACACAAUGAAAUACUUAUAAAAUCAGAAUUCUGUACUUAAAUCAUAUCAAAAUAGCUUAAGUGUUCAAUUACAAUAUAUUUUAAUAAUAAUAUUACAUUUUUCAAUUUAAUAUUAUUCAUAUUAUUGCUAGAAGAAUCUUAUUGCUGUAUUUGUGCGAUAUUAAUAUUAACAUAUCAGAUAUUAUACUCUAUUGUACAUUGUGUGCAUAUACUUAAGUAUAUGAACGUAUUAUAUGUAUACUUUAUUUUAUAAAGUUAUAUUUUAGAAAGACAGGGAACGAAAUUGUGAAUGAGACAAAUUGUAAAAACAAAGUUGUAUUUCUGUUUUAUUUUUGAAAAUAAACAUUUGUAAUACAAAACUGUGUAUUAAACA